rnacentral:misc_RNA from 1 species
GGAGGGAUCAUUACAGAGUUCGUGCCCUCGCGGGUAGAUCUCCCACCCUUGUGUAUUCCUUACAUUUUGUUGCUUUGGCAGGCCGUUGGUUCGCCAACCACCGGCUCUACGGGCUGGUGCGUGCCUGCCGGAGGACCCCCCAAACUCGGUUUGUUCGUGUCGUCUGAGUAACCAUAACAAUCGUUAAAACUUUCAACAACGGAUCUCUUGGUUCUGGCAUCGAUGAAGAACGCAGCGAAAUGCGAUAAGUAAUGUGAAUUGCAGAAUUCAGUGAAUCAUCGAAUCUUUGAACGCACAUUGCGCCCCUUGGUAUUCCGAGGGGCAUGCCUGUUCGAGCGUCAUUUCAACCCCUCAAGCCCUGGCUUGGUGUUGGGCCGCGCCAGCAUGCUGGCGGGCCUUAAAAUCAGUGGCGGUGCCGCUGGGGCUCUAAGCGUAGUAGCACAUCUCGCUCUGGAGACCUGGCGGUUGCUUGCCAGACAACCCUCACUAAAACACAAAGGUUUGACCUCGGAUCAGGUAGGGAUACCCGCUGAACUUAAGCAUAUCAAUAAGCGGAGGAAAAGAAACCAACAGGGAUUGCCUCAGUAACGGCGAGUGAAGCGGCAACAGCUCAAAUUUGAAAUCUGGCUCCCUCGGAGUCCGAGUUGUAAUUUGUAGAAGAUGCUUCGGGUGUGGUGCCGGUCUAAGUUCCUUGGAACAGGACGUCAUAGAGGGUGAGAAUCCCGUACGUGACUGGACGCCUAUGCCCAUGUGAAGCUCUUUCGACGAGUCGAGUUGUUUGGGAAUGCAGCUCUAAAUGGGUGGUAAAUUUCAUCUAAAGCUAAAUAUUGGCCAGAGACCGAUAGCGCACAAGUAGAGUGAUCGAAAGAUGAAAAGCACUUUGGAAAGAGAGUUAAAUAGUACGUGAAAUUGUUGAAAGGGAAGCUCUUGCAACCAGACUUGCGCGUCGCUGAUCAUCUGGUGUUCUCACCAGUGCGCUCAGCGGCGUUCAGGCCAGCAUCAGUUUCGGUGGUUGGAUAAAGGCCCUGGGAAUGUGGCUCUCUUCGGGGAGUGUUAUAGCCCAGGGUGCAAUGCAGCCUACCGGGACUGAGGACCGCGCUUCGGCUAGGAUGCUGGCGUAAUGGUUGCAAGCGACCCGUCUUGAAACACGGACCAAGGAGUCUAACAUCUAUGCGAGUGUUUGGGUGUCAAACCCAUGCGCGCAAUGAAAGUGAACGGAGGUGAGAGCCCUUCAGGGUGCAUCAUCGACCGAUCCUGAUGUCUUCGGAUGGAUUUGAGUAAGAGCAUAGAUGCUGGGACCCGAAAGAUGGUGAACUAUACUUGAAUAGGGUGAAGCCAGAGGAAACUCUGGUGGAGGCUCGCAGCGGUUCUGACGUGCAAAUCGAUCGUCAAAUUUGGGUAUAGGGGCGAAAGACUAAUCGAACCAUCUAGUAGCUGGUUCCUGC